rnacentral:rRNA from 1 species
GACGAACGCUGGCGGCGUGCCUAAUACAUGCCAGUAGAACGCUGAAGGAGGAGCUUGCUUCUCUGGAUGAGUUGCGAACGGGUGAGUAACGCGUAGGUAACCUGCCUGGUAGCGGGGGAUAACUAUUGGAAACGAUAGCUAAUACCGCAUAAGAGUAGAUGUUGCAUGACAUUUGCUUAAAAGGUGCAAUUGCAUCACUACCAGAUGGACCUGCGUUGUAUUAGCUAGUUGGUGGGGUAACGGCUCACCAAGGCGACGAUACAUAGCCGACCUGAGAGGGGGAUCGCCAAAACGGGAAUGAGAACAGGCCCAGGACUCCAAGGGAGGCAGCAGGAGGGAAACGUCGGGAAAGGACGGAAGGCCGACCGAGCAAAGCCGCGUGAGGGAAGAAGGGUUUCGGAUCGUAAAGGUCUGGUGGAAGAGAAGAAAGAGGGGGGGAGGGGAAAGUUCACACUGUGACGGUAUCUUACCAGAAAGGGACGGCUAACUACGUG